UUGGGGACCUGGUGGUGGUGGCGCGGCGCGACGACGUCAUACGUGAGAGCUCGAGAGAUAUUUUGGGGUCCCAGGCCGCGCGCGCGGGGGUGAUCGACGACGUCGGCCGGCGUUGGUGGUGUUGGCUCGGGCGUUUGGGGGUCAGGACGACGGAGGCCUUGGUUGGUUUGUUUGUUUUGGACCGCACCACGGCACGGGACGGGAGCGGAAAAAGGACGAUGAGCCGCGCGGCCGCGGAAAGCGGCGCGACAAAAAAGAGUUCACUGGGCCAGACCCUACAGUGAUUGCUACUCACUCAUCCAUCGUCGUGCGUAUCAAUUGUCGAGUGUGAAGUUUCCUCUCGGCGCCUUUAUGGGCUUUGGUUAUGCCAAAUUUUUUUGCCCGGUUUACACUUUACUACAACAGAUGCCAGUCGUUUUCCGUCUGUUUUUUCUUCUUCUUCCUUUUAGACCAAUCAGUCUUUC
rnacentral:lncRNA from 1 species